CUCAUCCUCGUCCCCAUCCUCAUCCUCGUCCCCAUCCCCAUCCCCGUCCCCGUCCUCAUCCUUGUCCUCGUCCCCGUCCCCAUCUCCAUCCUCGUCCUUGUCCCCGUCCCCGCGCCGCCGUGCAGCAGGCCCCUGCGCCCACGCAGGAACGGCCGCUGCCGCCCCAAAGCGCCGGGCUCUGCCGCCGGCCCCGACCCCCUUCCCCGAGCGGCUCCCGAAGCCCCCGCGCACUCACCGCAGCCCCCGGCUCCGCGCAACCGUCCCCCCGCGGUGGCGGCCAGUGUCCGGCGGCGCCGGCAGACAGCCUGGUGCCAGGAGGGGCUUAAUGAGGGUGGCGGGUUCGGGGGGGGGGGCACGUGCUCGCCCCUCCGACGGGAUCGCGGCUUAACCCUUCCCCUGCCGCUCCUCCGCCGCGGCCCCGGGGGGGGGGGUGAAAGCGCUUGGAGGGGAAGGGGGCGAGGGAGCCGGCGGGACCCCUGCCCCCGUCUGCCUGCCCGUCCGCCCAUCCGUCCACCCCUCUGUCCUCUCCAGCCUCUCCAUCCAUCCACCCCUCCCUCUUCUGCACCUUUCCGGCCAUCCACCUGCCCCUCCAUUUGUCCUCUCCAUGCAUCCAGCCCUCUGACCACCCUUCCACCUUCUCCGUCCAUCCAUCUGCCUCUCCAUUCUCUCCACUCAUCCGUCCAUCCAUGCACCCAUCCAUCUGCCACUCCAUUGACUUGUCCAUCCAUCCCUCCAUCUUCUCCAUCCAUCCAUCCAUCCAUCAACCCCAUGUGUCCUCUCCAGCCAGCCAGCCAUCUGACCACCCCUUCAUCCUCUCCAUCCAUCCAUCUAUCCCUCCAUUCUCUACAUCCAUCCAUCCAUGUACCCAUCCAUCUCUCCCUCCAAGCACCCAUCCGCCCACUCCUCCGUCUUCUCCACCCAUCUGUCCAACCAACCACCCCUCCAUUCUCUCCAUCCACCCAUCCAUCCUUGCACCCAUCCCUCUGUCCCUCCNNNNNNNNNNNNNN
rnacentral:lncRNA from 1 species